UACAUCAUACAUGGUAUUUCUAUCUUUUCCCACUAGAUUAUAAUGACUGCCCAAAACUAUUUUUCUGUGAAUUUUUCCUCAGCUUCAUGAAGCGCAAAGAAUUAGCUUCAGAGGCACAUGGUGAGCUAUACUUGUUUGUGCUUUAUACCUUGCCUAUUUGUUAGAUACAUGCUACUAACAUGAGAUUAAAAACUGAUUUAUUUAGCUCGAUUCUUAUUUGUCUAAACUCAUCUAUCAUCAAUUUCUAUUUAGUUUUAACCUAGGUGCUAGACUGGACACCCAGAGACAAUGAAGCAGAAACUAGAGUAUCAAGACAGUAACUAGAAGUUCUCGAUGGUACUGUAUUGAGACGACAAACAUCCAUAUACUGAAAUAAACAACUAACCAUAAGAAAUUAGUCAUAAAGCACACUGUUUGGCAUGUCUUACUAUUAAUCAAUACUCAAUAAGUAACCGUACAGUACUUUUAAUAUUUGAGCAACUCUCCAACUACACUUGACAAGGCUGCACACACAAAGACACCCUAAAACAGCGGAUGGUUUCUUUAGUGAUUGUGAGACAGGUUUUUGUGCAGUUUUUGCUUUGAGAAGAACUACUCUUGAAAAUUUAAGGCCCAUCUUUGAAGUUGUUGCAUAUGUGCUAUUUUUUAAAAAAAACCGUUCCUUGCUGAAUUAAUAAUGAGAUCUGUAGGUUUUUGUGCGCUUCAUGAAUCAAUAUUUCUUAUUGAUAGCUUGUCUGCAGCUAUGGUCACUUAUCACUCCUGUAAAUCCUGCAAAUACCUGGGGUCCACUUAUAUUUAUCUUUGCUGUUUCUGCAACCAAAGAGGCAUGGGAUGACUACAACAGGUAUAUUUCAGAUAAACAAGUGAAUGCUAAGGAAGUGUGGAUUGUUAAGAAUGGUACCCGGAAACACAUUCAAGCUCAAGAUAUCCGUGUCGGUAACAUAGUUUGGAUUCGAGAGAAUGAAGAAGUACCAUGUGAUCUUGUUUUGUUGGGAACUUCUGAACCACAAGGCAUCUGUCAUGUUGAGGCUCUUUUCUUAUUGUUAGAGCAGUUGUUGCAUUCGUCUUGAUAAAGAGAGAUCAAUGAAAAGAUGCACUGCGAGAACACUAGCCAUCCAGUUCAUUCCCUUCGAAUGAAGUUAAAGAUUUCUAAUUUCUCAGAUAGAGGGAUAUCCUGAUAUAUGCUACGAAAAGGGGUGGGGGUUGGCUGCUCCGAGUCUUCGACCUUCAAUUAUUUGCUGUAAUAAAAUCAACACGUGUGUUUGAUGUAAAGUUUCCAUCUGAAAAGGAAGAGAUGGCCAGCAAGUAUUGUUCCACA